rnacentral:rRNA from 1 species
CCUACGGGUGGCUGCAGUGAGGAAUAUUGGUCAAUGGGCGCAAGCCUGAACCAGCCAAGUAGCGUGAAGGAUGACUGCCCUACGUGUUGUAAACUUCUUUUAUAAAGGAAUAAAGUGAGGCACGUGUGCCUGUUUGUAUGUACUUUAUGGAUCAAGAUCGGCUAACUACGUGCCAGCAGCCGCGGUAAUACGGAGGAUCCGAGCGUUAUCCGGAUUUAUUGGGUUUAAAGGGAGCGUAGAUGGGUUGUUAAGUCAGAUGUGAAAGUUUGCGGCUCAACCGUAAAAUUGCAAUUGAUACUGGCCGUCUUGAGUACAGUUGAGGUAGGCGGAAUUCGUGGUGUAGCGGUGAAAUGCUUAGAUAUCACGAAGAACUCCGAUUGCGAAGGCAGCUUACUAAACUGUCACUGACAUUGAUGCUCGAAAGUGUGGGUAUCAAACAGGAUUAGAUACCCGGGUAGUC